rnacentral:rRNA from 1 species
CAGUCGCCACGGGAACACAGAGGGUGCAAGCGUUAAUCGGAAUUACUGGGCGUAAAGCGCGCGUAGGUGGUUUGUUAAGUUGGAUGUGAAAUCCCCGGGCUCAACCUGGGAACUGCAUUCAAAACUGACUGACUAGAGUAUGGUAGAGGGUGGUGGAAUUUCCUGUGUAGCGGUGAAAUGCGUAGAUAUAGGAAGGAACACCAGUGGCGAAGGCGACCACCUGGACUAAUACCGACACUGAGGUGCGAAAGCGUGGGGAGCAAACAGGAUUAGAUACCCGCGUAGUCCCUGUCUCUUAUAC